CACGACUCUCGGCAACGGAUAUCUCGGCUCUCGCAUCGAUGAAGAACGUAGCGAAAUGCGAUACCUGGUGUGAAUUGCAGAAUCCCGUGAACCAUCGAGUAUUUGAACGCAAGUUGCGCCCGAGGCCACCUGGCCGAGGGCACGCCUGCCUGGGCGUCACG
rnacentral:rRNA from 1 species